UCUUCAUGAUUUGUAUCGUCAGAGCAUCUUGAAUCGUUACUAACAUUAGGGGAACAAGAGAGAGCAGAGAGAAGUUGUAAACAAGGGAGACUAAUGUCUUUUCAAAAAUGCGCUAGGAGGGUCUAUCUCCCCCGUGGUUGUGGCCAUGUCUGGAACUGCUGGUCCUCAUGCCAAAUACUUGGAGGGAGGAAGACACGUUCUUUGGUGACACACCCAACUUGAGUGCCAAUGCAGGGCAAGUCCCCCUCCAUCCACCCCACUGGCUGUCACCGUUACUGUUUUCACACAGGUCUUCUUGGAAGGAGAAAGCCACAGCUGCAUGGACUUGACCCGAGAGACACACAGGUGAAGUCAUUCAGCUUGAAGCCUUUCAUCGCUGGCUUUUCCACUCGGCAGGAUGCCUUUUCUCCAACAUUUUUAUUAAGAAUUUUCAGUCAAGAAGUGAAUCACCAAGCAUAGACUACUUUCUUGCAGUACAACUUAUCCAUGCGGAGAACUGCCAUUUAAAGAGCAAAAAUUUUAAUUUUAAUAAAAUCAUUAUUACCCA